GUUUGACUGGGGCGGUCGCCUCCGAAAGGGUAUCGGAGGCGCUCAAAGGUUCCCUCAGAAUGGUUGGAAACCAUUCGAAGAGUGCAAAGGCAGAAGGGAGCUUGACUGCGACACCGACGGGUGGAGCAGGUACGAAAGUAGGACUUAGUGAUCCGGUGGUAUAAAGUGGGAUUGCCAUCGCUCAACGGAUAAAAGCUACCCUGGGGAUAACAGGCUUAUCUCCCCCAAGAGUCCACAUCGACGGGGAGGUUUGGCACCUCGAUGUCGGCUCAUCACAUCCUGGGGCUGAAGCCGGUCCCAAGGGUAUGGCUGUUCGCCAUUUAAAGUGGUACGCGAGCUGGGUUUAGAACGUCGUGAGACAGUUCGGUCCCUAUCUGCCGUGGGCGUUGGAAAUUUGAAGGGGGCUGCUCCUAGUACGAGAGGACCGGAGUGGACG
rnacentral:rRNA from 13 species